CCUACGGGUAGCAGCAGUGAGGAAUAUUGGUCAAUGGCCGAGAGGCUGAACCAGCCAAGUCGCGUGAGGGAAGAAUGUCCUCUGGAUUGUACACCUCUUUUGUCAGGGAGCAAAGUCACCCACGUGUGGCUGUUGGGGAGGCCCUGCAGAAAAAGCAUAGGCUAACUCCGUGCCAGCAGCCGCGUUAAUACGGAGGUGGCAAGCGUUGUCCGGAGUUACUGGGUGUAAAGGGCGUGUGGCCGGGUGGACAAGUCAGAUGUGAAAUCCUGCGGCUUAACCGCAGAAGUGCAUUUGAAACUGGUGAGCUUGAGUGCUGGAGAGGCAGAUGGAAUUCCUGGUGUAGCGGUGAAAUGCGUAGAUAUCAGGAAGAACACCAGUGGCGAAGGCGGUCUGCUGGACAGCAACUGACGCUGAGGCGCGAAAGCGUGGGGAGCAAACAGGAUUAGAUACCCGAGUAGUC
rnacentral:rRNA from 1 species